AGCACAGCAUUAUUCUUGCAGGAUCAGAUGUUACUAGAGGUGGCUGAUAGCAGCUUGUUUCCUUCCAGAGGGAGGGGGAAGAAUCUUAUUUGCAGCCAGGGAAAUCAAUCCUUGUGGGUCAGAUUUCCAACUAAUAGUAAUUUGCAUUUUCUUAUUUCUCAGCAUCACAGAAUCACAGAAUAUGAGGGGUUGGAAGGGACCUCCAAAGCUCAUCCAGUCCAACCCCCCUGCCACAGCAGCACCCAGAGCAGAUCACACAGGAACACAUCCAGGCAGCUCUGGAAUAGCUCCAAAGAAGACUCCACAACCCCCCUGGGCAGCCUCUUCCAGGCUUCUGUCAUCCUCACAGGGGAAAUGUUUCCAUGGAACCUCCUCUGCCUCAACUCCCAGCCAGUGCCCCUUGACCUGGCACUGGCAUCACCCAGCAGAGCCUGGCUCCAGCCUCCUGCCACUCACCUGCACAUCUUUAGUAACCAUCCAUGAGGUCCCCCCUCAGGAUCCUCCUCUGCCAGCAGCACAGUCCCAGCUCCCUCAGGCUCUCCUCCUAAGGAAGAGCUUCCACUGCCUUCAGCAUCAUUGUGGCUCUGUGCAGUUCCCUGAGGCCCUUCUUGAAUAUCAUUCUGAGCCUUUGAAAGACACUUCCACUUGCAAGCAAAACCAACAGCCUGUGCUCCCAGUCAUUUGCCUGACAACUGAAGCAAUGGUGCCAUGAAUCUGUCAGAAUUACUGCAAGGAGAAGGAUGAGUGCUGUGGCCCUUCUGAUGUGAGCUGCGUGCAGAAACGACCCCCCCCUACCUGCAAAUCCCGAACACAGCACAGCCACAGCAAUGGCUCCAAACCCCAGCCACGGGUUCUGCUCCACCUGCAACACAAGCACAGAACGGUAGAGCUUGGAAGGGGCCUCCAGAGAGCAGCCAGUCCAACCCCCUGUCGAGGCAGCAGCACCCAGGGUAGUCUGCACAGGACUGCACCCAGGCAGGAUUUGAAAGUCUGCAGAGGAGACUCCACAGCCUCUCUGGGCAGCCUGCUCCAGGGCUCUGCCACCCUCACUCCAAACAAGUUUCUCCUCCUGUUGAUCUGAAAUCUUCUCUGUUCCAGUUUGUAUCCAUUGCUC